GACGAACGCUGGCGGCGUGCUUAACACAUGCAAGUCGAACGGAAAGGCCCUGCUUUUGUGGGGUGCUCGAGUGGCGAACGGGUGAGUAACAAGUGAGUAACCUGCCCUUGACUUUGGGAUAACUUCAGGAAACUGGGGCUAAUACCGGAUAGGAGCUCCUGCUGCAUGGUGGGGGUUGGAAAGUUUCGGCGGUUGGGGAUGGACUCGCGGCUUAUCAGCUUGUUGGUGGGGUAGUGGCUUACCAAGGCUUUGACGGGUAGCCGGCCUGAGAGGGUGACCGGACACAUUGGGACUGAGAUACGGCCCAGACUCCUACGGGAGGCAGCAGGGGGGAAUAUUGCACAAUGGGCGGAAGCCUGAGGCAGCAGCGCCGCGUGCGGGAUGACGGCCUUCGGGUUGUAAACCGCUUUCGCCUGUGACGAAGCGUGAGUGACGGUAAUGGGUAAAGAAGCACCGGCUAACUACGUG
rnacentral:rRNA from 1 species